UCAAUAUUCAUGUUCCUCUACUCUCAGGUCCAUCUUUUCUCCCAAAUUAUAGCCCACAACCGACCCAUUCCAUAAAAAAAGAUAUUCAACAAUACAUACAGUCUAAACAAUAAACCAGUACCUGACCCCUAUGAUUCCGUCAUCUUCCUCCUCAACACGUGAAACCCAGAAACUCCAUCAGUGUAAUCCAGCUAGAAUGUGAACCAAACAUCCUAGAGCAGCCCAGAAUCGCAAUCCAACCCAUCGCGAGAUCUGACGACCCGAGUCCAGCAGCAUCGCGUGUCUAUCUCCUCUCUACGUGUACAUAUCUCCGCAAUUUACUUGUCCUUUUCUCAAAUAGGAGGACUCUCCUCUUUUUUCCGUUAGAAAUUGGUAAAAUGGACAACUCCUCAACCUGAUCCUUAAGGAAAUUUGAAUUUCAAAUUUGAAAAUUUCCCCCUGUUUUCCCCCUUUUAUUCUACCCUAAUUUCCUUCUAUAAAAACUCCUUUUGGCAUCAGUCUUGAGGGUUGGAAAAAGUUGGGAGAAAAAAGAUUUAAAAAAAUAGAAGAAAAGCUUAGGGGAAUAAUAGAAGAAAAAUUAGAGAACAAAGUUGGUGAAACAGAGGAAAAGGGGAAACAAAUAAUUUUUGGAAGAAAAGAGAUUGAAAAAGAUAUUUCUAUAGAACCAACAAGCUUGAGAAAAAGAAAGACAUUCCCCGUAAUCACGUAGAGACCGAGAACCAGGUUUGUUCCAGUUUUUUCUCUCUCUGGCCUCUGUAUCAUACAUCCGGGUUCAUCAGAUUUAUCGUUGUGGUCGUGGAAUAUCUCUUACUCCAUUGUUCGUUUGUCUCCAGGUCGCUGCACUGUAGAAGUUGAGCGAUAAAGCCUCUAUCUUUGUUGUUCGAAUUAACAAUCAAACAGAAGAAAUAAUGAUCAUAUUGAAGGCAAUACAAGUCUGCAUAUUGAAUUUCCGAAUCUCAAAGGACCAUAGAAACUGGUCAUACCAAUUGUAUAGUCGUUGUAUACACUGGUAUACACGAUGAAACAACAAUAUAUAGGUGAAAAAAUAUGAAAAAUAUAGGUAAAAGUGUUGGAAUUAUGGAGUUCAAAUAAAGUUACAGAUCCAGGAGUUCGAGAAUCGAUGAUAUACAUGGUGUAUAUGUCAAAUAAACACAUAGUGUAUCUCAUGGCAAAUAAGAUUGGAAUGGGGCCAAAAGCCCAAGGAAUUUUUAAGCAUGCUCAACAUGUUAAAAAAUGGGCAAGAUUCAUUUUGGGUCAUUUUAGACUCAGGACAAGUUAUGAAGUUUUGUGCCAAAGGCCCAAAUUUGAUAAUCUCUUUCUUUGUUACUUAUGUUGUAUUGUUUCGACUAACUUUGUUUUAUCUUAUGGUUUAAUUUAAUUAAAUUCUUGAGAUAAAUAUAAUUAUUUAUUUUAUACAAGUCACUUAGCUUUUAUUUUAUUAUUUGUCUUACGACCCUAAGUUUCUCCCUCUUAAAAAAUGAUUUUCCUUUUAGUUUAAUUCCAUAAAUAAUUAAUUAGAAAACAACGAUAGUAUAAUUAAGUAACGUAAAUGAAUAAAAAUGAAUUCUAUUUUACAUAUAUAAAAAUAUGAAAAAAUAUUAGAAGAGUCAUUUAGUCAAAUCACUGGUCAACUACGAGUUAGCGGGCAUUCCGAGGGCCUAACACCUUCUAGGAGUGUACAUUUGAACUUCGAAUUAUUUUUCAAUUGAUUUUAUCUGUUUAAAUCUUUUGAAAAUAAUCAUAAGUUUUUUCUUGGUUUUUUAUUAAAAAUUAUGUGGCGACUCUUUUAAUUCGAGAAAUCGAUUUUCCUUAAAUCAUAAGAUUAAUUGAUUUUUUGAAACUUAGUGAUUUUGUCUUAACUAUAUUCUUUUGAUAAAACAUGAGGUUCAUAAUAUAAAGAAAAUGGUUAUGUAGUGAACCCAUGGCUUGAUCACAAGCCUUAGUUUUAGUCACAUUACAAAUUUAAAAAAUUAAAGUUUUGAAGGGCUUCAUGGAGAAACUAAUCCAUGAAUUAAUAUUCCCAAACCUUUUUUGAUGUUAUUCGACGAGUUUGAAUCGAAAGAGAAUGAAUCUUGAGUGCCCUAGCUGGAGUUCUUCCUUGUUCUUCAAUGGUGGGUUAGAGAGAAUUUGUGUGAAAGGGAAAAAGAGUUUGGACUUCAUAAAAAUGAAGAUUUUGGGACGAAAAUACGCCAUUUUCGUCUCUGGAGAUCAUCCUAGAUGAAGCAGCUGCCUGCAUAAUCCUGUUGUAACGGAACGAUGACGGUUGCAGUGGUUCUCUCAAAUGGAUGGUCCAAAUGGCAACAAUGCACCUUUCAUCCGGUUUUCAGAUGUCGAUUGUCGUGAGAGGUAUCACGACUCUCGUGCAAUAGGGUUUUGCUGUGAGAGGGCACUGGUAUUACAUAAGGUGUAGGAGAGAGAUCUUGCUUUCUAAGCUCAUUUCGUCAAGUUUAGGUAGCUUUUGCUUAUUGAGGCUCCCCAUGUGCCUGCUCUAAGUGGGUGAGGGAGUUCUAUGACAUCCUCCCCACCACACGUUGGGAUGAUCCAUCCCCAGUCAUUCGCGUUCAGGGAGUGCACAUUCCGCUGAACGCCAUUACUAUCAAUAAGGUUGUGGAGGGGCCACAACUCUCAAAUCUGGAGUAAGAGGCCAAACUAAGGGACAUUGAUCUUGACUGGUUGCAGGACACUAUUGCUAAUUCUGCGUAACGGGAUCAGGUUUACUGGGUAGGGCCUCACUAGUGCUGAUUGGUCACCGGAUUCUAAGAGGGGUCUACACCUGAUAUAUAGAAGGAUUCACUCAUCGACCAACCGUACUAACGUAACCUUUCCUCGGGCUCUUGUGGUGGCGUGUUAUAUGCAAGGUAUUUACAUAAAUGUGGGGCACAAAAUUUAUUUCUUAGUGGAAGAUAUUCUACUGGGGCAAGAAGAAGACAUUCUUCCUUUCGGGUGUUAUCACUGCCCUAUGCAAGCGAGCAGGAGUGCCCUUGGUGGAUGUCGUUGAGGUAUUGCCGAUGGAUCUCCGUAUCCACUUUUUGUUGGUUUGGUAAGGUUCUGUUUCUAUGAGUUAGAGGAGGAGGACGAUCGAGGUAGUAGUAGCAAGGCGAUCGCGGGUUAAGAUUGUUAGGAACCCCUCUGAGGUGAACAGGUCGAGAUAGAUCUGAAGAUGGUAUGGAAGAACAUGGGGAGUGAAUAUGCUGACUUCACUCUGUGUCCUUUGAACACUUCCCAUGAGAAAGAGUUUCUCCACCGCCAGCUGUGCAAAGAGAUGAGGACGGGUGUAGAGAGCGAUCGACUGAUAGCCUGGACCUGGAAGACCAUUAAGUCCAUGUUUACUUGCAUUGCCCCAGGAAAGAAGAUACCCCAGCUUGAACCGAGGAACUUCUCAAAGUUUUCAAUGCCAAACGAGGCCUAGGCUGGGUUGAAGUACCCCGAGGAUAUGGAAAGUGACACAGACAACACCCAUCUUGAGAGUCCCUGAUUUGAUGUCCUUUCACCCUUCUUGUUGUUGCAAUUUAAGACAAUUAAUUUUAUUUUUUUUCCUUCAAGCAUUACUAUGUUUUGUAGCACACUUAUGCUAGUUUUUGGCCAUUUGAAGCAACCAGUUUUUUAAUUCUUUA